GUGGGCCGUCCAUUGCCACCGGGAGCGAGUGGCUCCGAUCCGGGGACAGGCCGCAAAUCGGCAGCUGCACCUUGGGCAACCGCUGCAACACCGACCGGGGCUGCGAAUCUUUUCCGUGGUGGAGAUGCUGCCUGGCCUGCUGAAUUCCUCCAGCAUUUUGUGUGUUCUGCAAAGAGGCCAGGCAGCGUUUGAAUGAAGAUGUCAUGGACGUGGAACGCAAACUCCGUGUCUCUCGCCGUGGAUCCUGACUGACCUGUUACUGUUGUUCCUGCAUUUCCUGGGGAUAACACGGGUCGAAAACAGAAUAACUGAUUCCACGUGGGCACCCGUUGUGAUCUUGUCUCAUCAAUUAGAGGAACCGCUCCUCAUGUUCCACUGGGGCAGUCUGAAACCUGCCGGCAUGAACAUUGAAUUCUCUGACUUCCGGUAGUUGCUCCCCCUCUGUCACUUUUCCUUUUAAUUUUCUCUCUUCGUGAUCCAUCAGCCUCCAUCACCCUCUCUCUUUCCCCUCCUCCCCCACCCUCUCCAUCUGCCCAUCCCCCACACACUCCUCCCCCUCCCUCCCUUUGUUCCAGACUCCACCUUCCUCCGACCAGAUUGCAUCAUCCUUGGCUCUGCCAGCUCUCCCCUCCGGGCUUCUGACACAUUCCCACACUCCACCCCUCCCUCAUCUGGAUCAGCUGCCAGCUCUUCCACCACCUUUCUGUACCAACCAUCUCCCCUCUUUCUUUCAGCCCAGAUGAAGGGUCUGGAGCCGAAAUGGUAACUGUUCAUUUCCCAUUCCCAUCCUGUCUGUCUCGCUGAGAAUCUCCGGCGCUUUGUGUGUUUCCAGCGUUGCCUGGCCAUUCCCUAACAUUCACCUUGACCUUCCCAGUCAGCACCACCACCGCUUGUCCAACUUAACCUGUCACAUUGUAGGUGGACUUUACGACCCGGGCAGCUCCGGACCUGUAGCCCGCGGCUGCUACUGAAUACACUUGGCAUCUGUUGACACAAUCCGUCCCGACCGAGUGAAAGCAGAGAGUGAGAGCGAAUAACUGGAGCAAUUCCGCCACCUGCUGGCCGCACAGGGUAUAAAGAAAAUGAUAUUUAAGAUUCAUUCAACGCACAUCGAAGUUGCUGGUGAACGCAGCAGGCCAGGCAGCAUUUCUAGGAAGAGGUACAGCCGACGUUUCAGGCCGAGACCCUUCGUCAGGACCAGAAACUUUGAUGUGUGUUGCUUGAAUUCCUGUUGUUUGUGUUUUUUAAGAUUCAUUCUGUGUUAUUUUCUGAUUCAGCUCAGGGUAUUCACAGAUGCAUUCACAAACAAAGGAGUUGCAACACACGUGUUCAAGGCCGCAAGAAAACACCUCAUUAGAACCAGCACAAAUGCAACCCAGAUAGAAAAAUCAAGAGUCUGCAGUAGUUGCAGCACAGAAUCAAAAUAAUUCUUAUCAUUCACUGAGCCGAUCUCUGCAAUGUCAGAAGGGUGUCACAGAUCCGACAAUUUUUCUCACACUAUUCCAUCCCUGUCUUCUCUAAAUCUCAACAUUAACACCAGUGGUGAUCUAGCCUCAGACAAAACCCUCCCAUUACACAAAGAAAAUGCCCUUUUUAUACCUUUUAAGAUUACAUCAAAGCAUAAACAUAAUCAUUACCCAGUAUUCU